rnacentral:lncRNA from 10 species
UUAUGCUAUAUGUGAGGAACUGUACUUCACCUGCCUUCCUAUGUACCAGUCUUGUUCCAACAACAUAUUGGCCUGGAGAUUCUGUGUGAAGUGAGUUUGUGAGACUUCAGGAAGCCUUAAAGGGAGAUGAAUGUUCUUCGCAAUUUCUUCUUCAGAUUGCUCCAGCAAUAAGUCCAGGCUUCCAAAUCCUUACUGGCAGGAGGUUGUGUGACUUACUGUGCCUUAUUGUGAGAUUGGGUACUUCCCAUGCUUUCCUACUUGGCCUGCUCUGGUGAUGAAUUCGUUUCUGCAGACUUUCCCUGGGAGUAAUUUGUACACAUACUGACUGCCCCAUAUUUUACAUCCCUCAUUCAAGGUACUGGCUCCUGUAUCACCCAGCUCUGGAGUUGAAAGAGCUCUUCAUUCCUGAGUCUCCUGUACCACUGAGAAUAGAAAUACAAAAAAAAUUCUAAAACUUGUAUGGAACUACAAAAGACAUUAAAUAAUCAAAGUAAUCUUGAGCAACAAGGACACAGCUGGAGGCAUCACUCUACCUGAUUUUGUAAUCCAUUAUCAAAAAACUGUGGUACCAGCAUAAAAACAGAUUCACUGACCAGUGGAACAGGAAAGCCCAGACAUAACUCAUACAUUUCCAUCCAAUUGAUUUUUGACAAAAGUGGCACACAGAAUGGGGAGAGGACAAAUAAAUAAAUAAAUUGUUUUGAGAUAUCUGUAUAUCUAUAUGUGAAAUUGAACCAUUUUCUCAUAGCAUAUAGAAAAAUCAACUCAAAAUGGAUUAAAGCCUGAAAUGUUGCCUUUGAAACUGUAAAACUACUAGUAGAAAAUAUAGGGGAAAAGCUCUAUGAUGUUGUUCUGGGCAAUGAUUUCUUGGAUACAUCCUUAAAAGCAUGGGCAGCAAAAACAGCCAGACAACUAUCAGGGAACCUGCCCAGAUAGUCACAUAGGUUCUUUUCUAUUUUCCCUAAGCAUUGGCCGGGUUGAGAAAUAAAGGGACAGAGUACAAAAGAGAGAAAUUUUAAAGCUGGGCAUCCUGGGGAGACAUCACAUGUCGGUAGGUUCCGUGAUGCCCCCUGAGCCGUAAAACCAGUAAGUUUUUAUUAGGGAUUUUCAAAGGGGAGGGAGUAUACGAAUAGGAGGUGGGUCACA